CUGCUCCAGAGGCCAGAACCCGGGCAAACACUCUCGCAGGUCUAGGCAAAUACAGGCUCCGCAUACAAUGCUUCCUCCCUGAGGAUGCUGUAUUCCAAGAAGCAUUCCAAAGGGCCUCUCAUCCUAUGCCCUGGGCAUACCAGAGGCCAGCCAGCAGGGUUGGCCAUAGACGGCCUGCGUGCACGCUAUUGUGCACUGCCUUGCCAACCCAUAGGCUCCUGCAAGUGCAGCAGCGGCUGUGGUGCCUGUUGGUGGGGCUCUACAAGCCCAGGGCCUCUGCCUCCAGCUCCUGAUCUCCUGUGUGGAGUUGACACUGCUGGGGACCUGAGUCCCAGGAAUUCCAGGACUUCCUGAUGGAAAACAGAGAAGAAGCCGGGCGCGGUAUCUCACGCCUUGUAAUCCCAGCACUUUGGAAGGCUGAGGCGGGCGGAU
rnacentral:lncRNA from 1 species